GAUGAACGCUGGCGGCGUGCCUAAUACAUGCAAGUCGAGCGAACAGAUAAGGAGCUUGCUCCUUUGACGUUAGCGGCGGACGGGUGAGUAACACGUGGGUAACCUACCUAUAAGACUGGAAUAACUCCGGGAAACCGGGGCUAAUGCCGGAUAACAUUUAGAACCGCAUGGUUCUAAAGUGAAAGAUGGUUUUGCUAUCACUUAUAGAUGGACCCGCGCCGUAUUAGCUAGUUGGUAAGGUAACGGCUUACCAAGGCAACGAUACGUAGCCGACCUGAGAGGGUGAUCGGCCACACUGGAACUGAGACACGGUCCAGACUCCUACGGGAGGCAGCAGUAGGGAAUCUUCCGCAAUGGGCGAAAGCCUGACGGAGCAACGCCGCGUGAGUGAUGAAGGUCUUCGGAUCGUAAAACUCUGUUAGUAGGGAAGAACAAAUGUGUAAGUAACUGUGCACGUCUUGACGGUACCUAAUCAGAAAGCCACGGCUAACUACGUG
rnacentral:rRNA from 1 species